GCUGGCGGCAGGCCUAACACAUGCAAGUCGAGCGCCCCGCAAGGGGAGCGGCAGACGGGAGAGUAACACGUGGGAACGUACCCUUCAGUUCGGAACAACCCAGGGAAACUUGGGCUAAUACCGAAUGCGUCCGUAAGGAGAAAGAUUUAUCGCUGAAGGAUCGGCCCGCGUCUGAUUAGCUUGUUGGUGAGGUAACGGCUCACCAAGGCUACGAUCAGUAGCUGGUCUGAGAGGAUGAUCAGCCUCACUGGGACUGAGACACGGCCCAGACUCCUACGGGAGGCAGCAGUGGGGAAUAUUGGACAAUGGGCGCAAGCCUGAUCCAGCCAUGCCGCGUGGAUGAUGAAGGCCUUAGGGUUGUAAAGUCCUUUCGACGGGGAAGAUAAUGACGGUACCCGUAGAACAAGCCCCGGCUAACUU
rnacentral:rRNA from 1 species